rnacentral:rRNA from 1 species
AGUGAACGCUGGCGGUAGACCUAACACAUGCAAGUCGAACGGCAGCACAGGAGAGCUUGCUCUCUGGGUGGCGAGUGGCGGACGGGUGAGGAAUACAUCGGAAUCUACUCUGUCGUGGGGGAUAACGUAGGGAAACUUACGCUAAUACCGCAUACGACCUACGGGUGAAAGCAGGGGACCUUCGGGCCUUGCGCGAUUGAAUGAGCCGAUGUCGGAUUAGCUAGUUGGCGGGGUAAAGGCCCACCAAGGUGACGAUCCGUAGCUGGUCUGAGAGGAUGAUCAGCCACACUGGAAGUGCGACACGGUCCAGACUCCUACGGGAGGCAGCAGUGGGGAAUAUUGGACAAUGGGCGCAAGCCUGAUCCAGCCAUACCGCGUGGGUGAAGAAGGCCUUCGGGUUGUAAAGCCCUUUUGUUGGGAAAGAAAUCCAGCUGGCUAAUACCCGGUUGGGAUGACGGUACCCAAAGAAUAAGCACCGGCUAACUUCGUGCCAGCAGCCGCCGUAA